CUCGUAGGCGGUUUGUCGCGUCUGCUGUGAAAACCUGGGGCUUAACCCCGGGCCUGCAGUGGGUACGGGCAGACUAGAGUGCGGUAGGGGAGACUGGAACUCCUGGUGUAGCGGUGAAAUGCGCAGAUAUCAGGAAGAACACCGGUGGCGAAGGCAGGUCUCUGGGCCGUCACUGACGCUGAGGAGCGAAAGCGUGGGGAGCGAACA
rnacentral:rRNA from 1 species